UUCCGGUUGAUCCUGCCAGACCUGAAUGCUAUCGGAGUGGUACUAAGCCACGCAAGUUGAAAGAUCGAAAAUGGUCGAUCUUGGCAUACGGCUCAGUAACACGUGGAGAAUCUGCCCUGUGGUCCCCAAUACCCCCGGGAAACUGGGAAUAAUGGGGGAUAUACGAGGUGGCCUGGAAUGGUACCUCGCUGAAAGGAACACGCCUAACCGUGCAACCGCCACAGGAUGACUCCGCGGCCGAUCAUGCUAGACGGCGGGGUAACGGCCCACCGUGGCUUUGAUCGGUACCGGCCAUGUAAGUGGGAGCCGGGAGAUAGGCACUGAAACAAUGGCCUAAGCCCUACGGGGUGCAGCAGGCGAGAAAACUCCACAAUCCGCGGAAGCGGGAUGGGGCCACUCCGAGUGCCGACUCUAAAAAAGACGGCUGUGGCGAGAUCUACAACGUCUCGCAAGAAAGGAGAGGGCAAGGCUGGUGCCAGCCGCCGCGGUAAAACCAGCUCUUCAAGUGUUCAGGACUUUUAUUGAGCUUAAAGCACCCGUAGCGGGCCUCGCAAGUCCCCGGUUAAAUCCACGUGCUCAACCCGUGGCCGGCUGGGGAUACUACAAGGCUUGGGAGCGGGAGAGGCAGCGGGUAC
rnacentral:rRNA from 1 species